GGUAUGGACAUUUUUACAAUUUUCUGUACAUAUUUCUGGACUUCAAGCCCUUACAUAAUUGUCCAUAUCUUGAGGAACUUCUGGCAUCUCAUUUAAUUGCUCAUCCAUGAGUUUAAGGAACUGCAGGUUCCCUUUUGAAUAGUGACAGUUUACCCAAAAUGGUAAAUAUUUAUGCAUACAUCACUAUUCAUGUAUACGGCACUAUUCAUGUGUACAGUACAUUUGCCAAUACAGUUAUUUUCAUGUGUACGGCACUAUUAACCAAUAUAAUACUGUUACAUCAUUUAAGGAACCCCAGGUCCUUAUUUACAUAUCAAGAAUCAAGGACCCUCAAGUCCGAUCACAUGUUUACAAAUAUAGUACUGGAGAGACAGCCAGCUCUCAUAUCAAUAUCAUCAUCAAGGAUCUUCAAGUCCUGAUGUAGUUGUAUGAUGAGGAUCAAGAAACUUCUGGUUCUGAUCUGUAUCUUUGUAAAAAAAAACUCAUCAUACCACACAAUUAAUCCAUAAAAUAAAUUGCUUGUAAAUUAAAUUAUUGGUAAAUGAAUUGCUUGUAUGGACGAUAAACCCACACCAUACGUUAAAUAAAAGUAAAUGUGCGGUAAAGUAAAUUCAUAAAGUAUGAGGGUUAAUUCCUCAUCAUACUUUAAGUAAAAGUAAAUGUGCGGUAAAGUAAAUUCAUAAAGUAUGAGGGUUAAUUCCUCAUCAUACUUUAAGUAAAAGUAAAUGUGCGAUAAAAUAAAUUGCUUGCUAUAUGGACGUUAAUUCCGCACCAUAUCUUAAAUAAAAUUAAAUGUGCGGUAAAAUAAAUUGCUUGCUAUAUGGACGUUAAUUCCGCACCAUAUCUUAAAUAAAAUUAAAUGUGCGGUAAAAUAAAUUGCUUGCUAUAUGGACGUUAAUUCCGCACUAUAUAUUAAAUAAAAUUAAAUGUGCGGUAAAGUAAAUUCAUAAAGUAUGAGGGUUAAUUCCACAUCAUACUUUUAAAUAAAAAGAAAGGCGUGGACGAUAAACCCGCGCCACCCUUUUAAAUAAAUAUUGUCGUAUGGGUAAUAAAACUACACCAUACAGUAAUUAAAAUAAAUAAGGGGUUAAAACCACCACCGAAUAAAAUAAGAAAAAUGUUAGUAUUAGUAACGGUCUCCCACUGAUAAUAUGUUUAGUAUUACCAAGGGUCC
rnacentral:lncRNA from 1 species